GAUGAAGAACGUAGCGAAAUGCGAUAAGUAAUGCGAAUUGCAGAAUCCGUGAGUCAUCGAAUCUUUGAACGCACAUUGCGCCCCCUGGAAUUCCGGGGGGCAUGCCUGUUCGAGCGUCUCAGGGACGAACCCUCGCGCGGGUGUACGCGCGGUCGUGGCUGCGGUGGCGUGCCCGAGGCGGCGGCCACCGCGCUGGAAUCCAUGGGCGGACGCCUGCCGCGUGGCCGAGCGUGAUAUGACGCAUUGGCGCUCGCACGCGGAGAGGCUGCCAGCCCUGGCCCGUCUGUCGGGCGGGGGAGAGCAAGACACGUGAACUCCUCGUAUCAGGUAGGGAUACCCGCUGAACUUAAGCAUAUCAAUAAGCGGAGGA
rnacentral:misc_RNA from 1 species